rnacentral:sRNA from 1 species
AAUCAAAAUGGCGCAUGGCGGGAUGUCGUGUGUUAUACGUAACACUACGUAAUUGUCAUUGAAAGGGAAUGUAGCCGACGAGGAUCGUCCUCAUGAUUGUGAGGUAGACAGUUACCUUUUCUCUUAUUCCCCCCGGCACCGUCACUACCCCCGGCGUCAGACGAGGCUUGUGACGACGCCGGCGAUGAAGAUGACGUCGCGCUGGAUGGGGAGGGCAUGGAGUUUUCCGGACUGGGUUUGGACAUAGCAGAAAGACCGGAGUAGUGAGCUGUCCCAUCUUCAUUGCUACUUUCCUCCCUCUGAGAGGAUCUCUGUGGUAACACUUGCUUGUACUCCGGUAAAACGAACGAUGAUGUCUGCGAAUGUUGGAUCAUGGCAGGCGGAAAGUAUGGCAUGUAUCCUCGAUUCAUUCCGUCAACAAACUCAUUUUUGUCACAACCCAAACGAAUGUCCAUUCUAAAAACACACAGUCCGUCCAAGGUGAAGAUUCAAGAUCGUGGUUGUUUACACCGAUGAAAGAUAUCAGAAUAUCCAAAACUGACCAGCUCAAGGGCCGUUCUCAUCGAUCGAAGGUUCGUCACAGGAAAACCGAUUAAAACACGAAUUACAAAGAGUUUGCCACGACCGUAACAGGCGAGGGUGGUGGGUACUAGCACAUAUCCUUGUUUACCAGGCACCUCACACUUCAGGGUCUACGACAUGGUCAACAACUGUACAAUUUGACUAGCCGAUGUGAUGUAACGCCCCAGUGGUUCAAUGAUGGCCGCGUCCAAUAAAGGAGAAGGGGGUUGUAGGUCAGUUAAUGUUCCCUGGCAUUGCUGAUAGAAAAUACCUAUGCAAUAUCAAUUGACAGAAAAAAGAAUUUUGAAAUGAUUUUGUCACAAAUAUGAAAUAAGUACAAAGGUAAUUUACCGAUAUACAUGUAUGCGUUAUUUGUAGUUGUUCGACCUGCCGCCCCUUUCCUUCAUGUCCUCAUUCCAUCACCACAUAGCCUGGUCAGUGUUAUGAUCGGAUCGUAGAGGUAAGGUCGGCUUGACCGAUGUCGGGAAUAACAAGGAGAUUGCCAAUUAAAUGGAAUUUGGCUCCUAUUCUUUACUUUUCUGAUACUUUUUAAUCAAAGUAUAAUCAUACAAAUUGUAUAUUUCUUAGUAUUUUCAUAUGAAUAUAAAACUGUUGGGAAUACUUUAACUAAUUAAAACCCGAACCCCCUUCGGUUUGUGAAUGGAAUGUUCCAUCUGUACUAAGGCCAUCGAAGGACACGAGAUUUUAGCCAGUAACCGCGCCUGGGUUAUAGGUCAUUUGCUUUUAAUAUGUAUGUUAUAAACAUUGCCACACGUGAAUAGAGUUAGUCUACGUCAUAAAUGACAAGACAAGUGUGCAUCACGUUACAUCACCGAGAUGUGCGACAAAUUUUACAUUAAUGAACACAUAGGUUAAUUAGACACAAUGUACGUCAUAGUCUGAUUAGUCAAGUAAUAACUGUACAAAAAGGGAUUGUGAGGCAGUACACAAGAAUAUAUUUUUAAUUGUUGUUGCACCCUCAAUAAAAAAAAACUUCUAGG